UACGUAGGAGGCAAGCGUUGUCCGGAAUUACUGGGUGUAAAGCGCGUGUAGGUGGUGGGCCAAGUCUGUGGUGAAAUCGCCCGGCUCAACUGGGCGAGGUCCGUGGAAACUGGUCGACUGGAGGACGGUAGAGGCGAGUGGAAUUCCCGGUGUAGAGGUGAAAUUCGUAGAUAUUCGGAAGAACACCAGUGGCGAAGGCGGCUCACUGGACCGGUAUUGACGCUGAGGUGCGAAAGCGUGGGGAGCAAACAGG
rnacentral:rRNA from 1 species